UAAAGAGGCAGUAGCUUAGUCAAUUCAUAAUGGUUUACCAAUAGCUGAUGCAAUAGAAAAUAAUGCUUCCUUACAAUGCAUGAAGUGGACAGGCAAGUAAGGAAAUGAAAUCCAUACUGGAACUAUAAGAGACUCCUCGGAACAUCGAAAAUAGGUGGUCCAUUUAAAAAUUAUCAUGGCACUCCCAUUGAUGUACCAUGUCUGCCUAACCCAUAGGCGU
rnacentral:lncRNA from 1 species